GGCGAUCAGAUACCGCCCUAGUUCUGACCGUAAACGAUGCCAACUAGCGAUCCGCCGGUGGAUUUUUAGCCCUGGUGGGUAGCUUCCCGGAAACGAAAGUCUUCCGGUUCCGGGGGAAGUAUGGUUGCAAAGCUGAAACUUAAAGGAAUUGACGGAAGGGCACCACCAGGAGUGGAGCCUGCGGCUUAAUUUGACUCAACACGGGGAAACUCACCCGGCCCGGACACCGUAAGGAUUGACAGAUUGAUAGCUCUUUCAUGAUUCGGUGGUUGGUGGUGCAUGGCCGUUCUUAGUUCGUGGAUCGAUUUGUCUGGUUUAUUCCGAUAACGAGCGAGACUCUAGCCUACUAAAUAGUAACGGGAUUAUUAUUGUCCCAGUCGCUUCUUAGAGGGAUUUUCGGUGUUUAGCCGCACGAGAUUGAGCAAUAACAGGUCUGUGAUGCCCUUAGAUGUCCGGGGCUGCACGCGCGCUACACUGGCGAAAUCAGCGUGCUGUAUCCAUUCUCGAAAGGGAUUGGUAAACCCAUGAAAAUUUGCCGUGCUUGGGAUCGGAAAUUGCAAUUAUUUUCCGUGAACGAGGAAUUCCAAGUAAGUGCGAGUCAUCAACUCGCUCUGAUUACGUCCCUGCCCUUUGUA
rnacentral:rRNA from 1 species